AUUGGACGCUGGCGGCAUGCCUUACACAUGCAAGUCGAACGGCAGCACGGGGCAACCUGGUGGCGAGUGGCGAACGGGUGAGUAAUGCAUCGGAACGUGCCAUUGAGUGGGGGAUAACGUAGCGAAAGUUGCGCUAAUACCGCAUAUUCUGUGAGCAGGAAAGCAGGGGACCGCAAGGCCUUGCGCUCUUUGAGCGGCCGAUGUCAGAUUAGCUAGUUGGUGAGGUAACGGCUUACCAAGGCGACGAUCUGUAGCGGGUCUGAGAGGAUGAUCCGCCACACUGGAACUGAGACACGGUCCAGACUCCUACGGGAGGCAGCAGUGGGGAAUUUUGGACAAUGGGCGCAAGCCUGAUCCAGCCAUGCCGCGUGAGUGAAGAA
rnacentral:rRNA from 1 species